rnacentral:rRNA from 1 species
CGUACCUCCUACGGGAGGCAGCAGUGGGGAAUAUUGCACAAUGGGCGCAAGCCUGAUGCAGCCAUGCCGCGUGUAUGAAGAAGGCCUUCGGGUUGUAAAGUACUUUCAGCGGGGAGGAAGGCGAUAAGGUUAAUAACCUUGUCGAUUGACGUUACCCGCAGAAGAAGCACCGGCUAACUCCGUGCCAGCAGCCGCGGUAAUACGGAGGGUGCAAGCGUUAAUCGGAAUUACUGGGCGUAAAGCGCACGCAGGCGGUCUGUCAAGUCGGAUGUGAAAUCCCCGGGCUCAACCUGGGAACUGCAUUCGAAACUGGCAGGCUAGAGUCUUGUAGAGGGGGGUAGAAUUCCAGGUGUAGCGGUGAAAUGCGUAGAGAUCUGGAGGAAUACCGGUGGCGAAGGCGGCCCCCUGGACAAAGACUGACGCUCAGGUGCGAAAGCGUGGGGAGCAAACAGGAUUAGAAACCCUUGUAGUCCCAG